GUCAACGGCCAUAUCACGUUGAAUACACCAGUUCUCGUCCGAUCACUGAAGUUAAGCAACGUCGAGCAUAGUUAGUACUUGGAUGGGUGACCGCUUGGGAACACUAUGUGUUGUUGGCUACU
rnacentral:rRNA from 1 species